rnacentral:lncRNA from 1 species
AUGUAUGGAGCUUCUGGCCAGUUACCGGUCUCGGGAUCCAAGAAUGAAAGGGUUAGCAUGAAUGUAAGCUGAUUUAUGGAGAGCAAUAACAGCUUUGUGAAUGGCGAUUUUGGCGAGUGGUUGUUCACCGAUGGGAACAUGAGGGCGAUGAUUCUCGAUACCAUUGUUUAGAAGACGAGAGUAAAAUGAAUCAUGACCACUAACUGUAU